rnacentral:rRNA from 1 species
UACGGAGGGUGCAAGCGUUGUCCGGAUUUAUUGGGUUUAAAAGGGUGCGUAGGCGGUCUUGAUAAGUCCGUGGUGAAAAGCCAACAGCUCAACUGUUGAACUGCCAUGGAUACUGUCAGGCUUGAGUACAGACGAGGGUAGGCGGAAUGGAUCGUGUAGCGGUGAAAUGCAUAGAUACGAUCCAGAACUCCGAUUGCGAAGGCAGCUUACUAGGCUGUUAACUGACGCUGAGGCACGAAAGCGUGGGGAGCGAACAGG